GAGCAGGAUAUAUUUUAUACAAGAUCUGCUCCAAAUCUCCUUAAACUUUAAUGAAAAAAAGGAACUCAUGCGCAUACUACUGCUGCAAGCUGGUAGAGUAUUCUUAGAGUUUCUGGAAGUUUAGGGUUGAAUCAUUUGUUUCUUUCAAUUCAUUGCUGCAUUCUAUUUCCAGCGACGGUUGUGGUCUUGGUAGAGCUGGAGACCUUGGAGCCUGUUAUCUGAGAAAUAACGUGCAGAAGAGAACUUCACCCUGCCCCACUUCAGCUGCUCUCACCUCCAUAACAGCAUCUUCCUCACUAAGGGAUCCAGCAGAUCGACUCCCUCGUAUGAAAUGCUGCGUGUGCUACACACCAAAGGCUCAGAGGGUUGUGCUGUGGCUUUUCUUGCAGACUCUGCUCUUCUCAAACUGUUUAAUGGGACCCAAAUAGAACAACGCAUCCCGCUAUUACUUCAGCCAUACAAAGUGAUUUAUUGAAAAACAGAAAGGAAAAAAAAAACGAUUCAUCAGUUCAAGAAUUUAAGCUUGCUUCUCCUAUGCUUUACCAGCAGCUUUCCCUUACACCUCCAGCUUGUUGCUCGUCUCCAGUCUUUAAGAAAUGUAUAUUUAGCCCGACUAUAUGAAAAGAUCACUAAGGAAUAACUGACCAGUCAUUAAUCUCACACUUAGGAUUCGUGUUGGUAUAGACAGGUACAGUCCAAACUUAGCGGGGAAAGUAUAAAUGCUUUUUAAACCUGACGUCAAUCUCAUGGAAAAUUAGUUGAGAAGAGAAAGGAGGUGAUUGUUUAGGUUUAUUUAUCAGUUGCAUGCUUCAUGCCUUCACCACAGGCAUGCACCUGCGAGCUUGGUGCUCUUGCACGUGAAAGAAUCACAUCAAAAACAAGUCAAAUCCACGGGCUUGCUGUUUCCUUUGGUAAAUUAGAAAAUUAAGCGACUGUUACUUUGAAGGAGACAACUAAUUUAAGCAGGUCCUACAAAACACAUAGAAAACACAAAACAUCCAAAUAAACUGAAUGCUGGUACUUGAACA
rnacentral:lncRNA from 1 species